rnacentral:rRNA from 1 species
UACAGAGGGGGCAAGCGUUAUUCGGAAUUAUUGGGCGUAAAGGGCGCGUAGGCGGCCUGGCAAGUGGAAGGUGAAAUCCCUCGGCUUAACCGAGGAACUGCCCUCCAAACUGCUUGGCUUGAGUCCGGGAGAGGUGAGUGGAAUUCCCAGUGUAGCGGUGAAAUGCGUAGAUAUUGGGAGGAACACCAGUGGCGAAGGCGGCUCACUGGACCGGAACUGACGCUGAGGCGCGAAGGCGUGGGGAGCGAACAGG